UACGUAGGGUGCGAGCGUUGUCCGGAAUUAUUGGGCGUAAAGGGCUCGUAGGCGGUUUGUCGCGUCGGGAGUGAAAUCAUCUGGCUUAACUGGGUGCUUGCUUUCGAUACGGGCAGACUAGAGGUAUGCAGGGGAGAACGGAAUUCCUGGUGUAGCGGUGAAAUGCGCAGAUAUCAGGAGGAACACCGGUGGCGAAGGCGGGAUCCUGGGCCAGUACUGACGCUGAGGAGCGAAAGCGUGGGGAGCGAACAGG
rnacentral:rRNA from 1 species